AAGGCUGAUUUUUUCUUUCCCGCAAAACCGAUUUGUCGGUGAUCAGAUGCGUGAUUAUGCAUCUUCUGGGUAUCAUUUGUUGAUGCCUUCGAAUCACUCUUGGGACAAUUUUAGUCGAUUUUUUUUGGGACUUGUGGGUCACUCUUUAUCACUUAUUGGAUAUUUCCGGUAACAUGGGUCAUUUAUGGGUGAUUUCCGGUCAUUUGAGAGUGACUUCUGCAACAUCUCUACUAAUCAAUUUUCAUCUAUAUCUACGAACCUGCACGAGGAUUCCGUACGAAGCUUUAAAACUCCCAAUUACUUCUGGAUAACACCCGGUUAUUAUGAGCUCCAAUCGGCCGUACCGUUCUAGCGAAGACUGAAACUAUCCGAAAUUAAGCGGAAACCAUCCAAAUUUUGGCUGGUACACUAUCCCUAUGCAUGCCAACCGAACCGACACGUCUUCCCUACAAUAGUCAUAAAUGUUCGGACCGAAACCAUGACCGAAUCCAAUAAACAUAAAGUUGUAUUAUGAUGAAUCAAAAAAAAUAAGGUGUGAUCUAGUACUUCAUUUAUUUGUUACUUUACCGAUCUUAUGCAAAGAACAAACAACAUAUGUGAUUUUCAUCCGAAUUUCCUUCCAUUUUUGCCCAACUUAUCUAAUACACUAAUCAAUUUGUUUGCCAUUUCAGUUCCAAACUUCCGUGUAGCCAAGUUCGGUUACACCAAGCGUGGGAAGUCGAUGCUGCUGUACAACGGAUACGCCUACAUCAAGGACCGCGACGCAAGAAACAGUUGCAACUGGAAGUGUUCCCUGUUCGGGAAGCUGAAGUGCCGCGCCAGGGCCGUUACGAAAACGGGCGCCAAUGGGCGGCAGAUGAUGAAAAUAACAAAACCCGUUCACAACCACGGCCACGAGGCAUACCGGUUCGAUACGUUGCAUUUUUGCACCGAUGACAACUGAAAAUUAAUUAAAUUUGAAUACAUUUGUUCGUUUAAUAGAUUGUUGGAUUAGAUUUUUUUCGUAACAAAUUCAUCAUAGUUUUUGAUGCUUAACAUGAAUGCAGGUCACGAGCACUGUAAUCUAAAUUGUUCAUUCAUUGAUUCCAGAUGAGGCAAUUUGUGUUCCGUAUGGGAGUUCGGGAGUGGCAUUUACCGUCAGUAGAAAAGGCAGACCGAAAAUGGUAUUCGGUGGACAUACUUACGUAAGAAAUAACAGUACCGCGCAGAAAACCUACUGGAUAUGUGCUGCCGCUCGUGACCGAAAGUGUCGAUCCCGUGCGAUCACGGUCAGAGGACAACAAUACGUGAUGAUUAGGGAUCCGACGCAUAAUCACUGAUGGCAGUUAACCGAAACCCAGCGUACAAAACUGUUGUUCGUGCUAAGCGUAAACGGAGCUCAAACGGCCGGAAAAGGCGAGGUGCCGAUAAUCUUGACGUUCUCGAAAUACUGAAAAGACCAUCGGCGGAAGUGGCUCUUCUGCCAUGUGUACUUGGCGGCAUGAAAGUUCACUACCAGGAUAACGUCUUCGCGUACCACUACGCCAAAGACGGCGCUAAGAUCUACCGUUGUGUUCACUUUGCGCAACAAAGUUGCGCGGCUCGAGUUUUGGUUCAUAAUAAGCUAGUUUAUCCGAUAUGCGAAAAUCAUUCUCAUGGAAAAUCAGAAUAAAAUUUCCUUUUUCAAACAAGACGUUUGCGUGACGUGACAAUUUCAAUUGCAGUACCGAAUCAGCAGUUGCUUUUUUUUGUACCACUAAUCGUGCUUUUUUUUUAUAAAUAUUUGUAGAUAGAGUAAGCACCUCGACACUCAACUGCCGAAUUAAAAUAAAAAAUGAGCCAUCGAAACGGGAUAUUCCUGCGGUUUCAAUGUAUUAUCAAGAUGGUAUGUUGAAGUUCGUCGAGAAAGAUGUUAAAGUCAAAGCCGAAAAUCCCAGAAUCCAAAGGCCUGCAGCUGGAACCGAAGUGUUCAAAAAACCUGUCGCAAUAGGUGGCAAAAAUAGGAAAACGAUCAAAGUAGUUUCUUCUAAGCAAAUCGUUGCCACCGGGGAACCUCACCCUAUGGUUGUCGUUCCCACCAAAAAGGGAGCCGUCGGAGUGCUGCACGAGGGACAUCACUUUGAAUAUCAUUUCACCCGCACUGGACGAAAGAUAUAUCGAUGCGCAUGGUUUAAAAAAGAGCAGUGCCAAUCGCAAAUACUGGUAUUUGAAAGAAAGGUCUACGUAACUGUUGACGAACACUCGCACGGGGAACCGGCUCGAAUGAGUGAUGAUGUGUUGGUCAAAUCGGCGGUUAAGUAAUCUGCCUCGGGGAAGGGUCGUUUGGCCGAGAGCCAUUUGGUCGAAUAACACAUUAGGCCAAAAGUCAUCAGGCCGAAUUGAACGUUUGGCCAAAACGGUUAUUUGGCUGAAAACGGUUUGGCCGGAAAUGUCAUUUGGCCGAAAGGGACAUACGGCCGAGAAUGUCGUUCUACCGAACUGCAGUGUUGGUUAAAUCUCAAAUUCUCAAAUCUCAUCGGCGAUUCAAAUCAUGCAUGAGUCAAAUUCCAUCAGAACCGUGGCCUAGAGAAUCGCUCAUGAUGCGAAUCGCGAUUUGCAGCAUGAUUUUUACGUGUUCUUCAUUGUUGAAUGCAGUGAAUUUCCCCCUUUUUCGCUUGAAAAAAUGGUAUUAAAUCCAUUUUGUAAACAAAACAUAUGCUUCGAUUGCGUUUUGACGCUAUGCGAUUCUGUCCGAGAAACUCAAGCGCGAUGCUCUCCCUAAAAAAUCGCAAGCGAGUUAGCUCGUGCAUGAAGCCUCGAUGAUUGAGAUUUGACUAUGAUUCUACCAACACUGCCGAACUGGUAAUUUAACCGAAAAAGUCGUUUGGCCUAAAAGGUCAUUUGAGCGAAAAUACCGUUUGGCCGAAAUGGUCGUUUGGCAGAAAGGGUCAUUCUGUAGAACAUUCGGUACCAACACCAACCGUGCAGGUCAGUUCUAGGAAUUGGUAGGAAAAUGUUGACGCGAUACUCGCUUUGAUAGAAGCUGACGAGUUAUCUGCACAUCACAAGGAUGUUGGUAAGCGGUGUAGUUUGAUCGAUGUUGAACCGAUUGCACACAGCAGAAACAUUAAAAUUUUAUUGACCGCACUAUUAUUUUGCAUGCAAAUCGGACGCGAUUAGAUGCGCACUAAAUUUUUAUUCGCCAAAUAAUUCACUCACCAGCACCCAUGCAAAACCAAACAUUACAAUGAAUGCGUGAUCAUUUUGCGAGCAAAAGGAAAUACGAUCGGACGCGCACUGGGUGUGGCCGAAAAGAUCAUUUACACGAAAAUGUCGUUUUGCUGAAAGAGUCGGUUGACAGAAAAGGACAUUUGGCUGUACGGGCUAUAUGACCGAAAAAUUCACUUGGCCGAAUAAUAGUGAAUGUGAAAAGUUUGAAGUGAUUAUAAUGAUAACUGAGAAGUGAGAUGAAAAAAUAAGCAGUGAAAUGUGAGAAUUAUCAAGUGAUAUAUGAGGCGUCUCAUUUCUCACCUUUUACUUCCCACUCUACAUUUCGCACUUCUUUCUACUCACUCCUCACUUCUUACUGUCGAAAGUGAGAAUUGCGAAUGAUAUUUUAUUAAACUUAUUUUUAGUAAGAAAUAAGAAAUAAGAAGUGGG